GCUACGUACGGACGGGAUAAGCGCUGAAAGCAUCUAAGCGUGAAGCCCCCCUCAAGAUGAGAUUUCCCAGUAUGUAAGACCCCUUGAAGACGAUGAGGUAGAUAGGUUGGAGGUGGAAGUGCAGCAAUGCAUGGAGCUGACCAAUACUAAUCGGUCGAGGGCUUAUCCAA
rnacentral:rRNA from 1 species